UAACCACUGAGCCACCUCUCCAGCCUCCUAAGAGUUUUUUAAAAAGGGGACAGUCCAGUAUAUCUGCCGAGGAUUCCUUUUGGAAAGGCACAUGCACUUGCAUUUCGCGUUCAGAAACAGAGAAACCUUCCGAUUGGUCCUGGUGCAGUCCUGCCCUUGUCCGGGGUAGAUCUUGUAUCUGCUGAAACCUUCUUGGUGAGAGCUGCCUGCUGGUGGGAGAAAAGACCCAAGAGGGAGAGAGAGUCAUUGAAGGACACUUUUUAGGGCAAUGGGAGAAAGAUUAAAACUCUUUUACAGGGA